rnacentral:rRNA from 1 species
CUGGGUAGCUAUGUAGGGAAGGGAUAAACGCUGAAAGCAUCUAAGUGUGAAACCCACCUCAAGAUGAGAUUUCCCAUGAUUAUAUAUCAGUAAGAGCCCUGAGAGAUGAUCAGGUAGAUAGGUUAGAAGUGGAAGUGUGGCGACACAUGUAGCGGACUAAUACUAAUAGCUCGAGGACUUAUCCAA